GUGGGCAUCCAAUCCUUCCAGCUUCAUAUCGAGGAUCCAGCAGGCAGUUGCACAGCAAGAUUGGAAGGACAGAAAAUCUCCGAAAGCUUUUGAUACUGUGAGCAGGUUCUUCUUUGAGUCCGACAAAACGUCUUGAACAUGGCCCAACUUUUCUUGUACAUGGCACUCGCUGCUACAUUCGUGCUUGUUUCAAGCAUCCCGCAUUGCACCGACGAUCCAAAUGGGACCAACUACAGGGGAGAGUUGGCCCAGACCAUCUCCGGUAAAGAAUGCCUAUCUUGGACCUCUCCGAACCCAAAGAUUAAAGCCCUGACACCCGCCAAAUACCCUAAUGCGGGCCUUGGAGAUCACAACUACUGCAGAAACCCCGACAAUGAAUUCACCGCCUGGUGUUACACCACCGAUCCUGAUACCCGAUGGGAGUAUUGUGCCGUUGGUGAUUUCAGCCAACAAUGCACGAGUAAGUAUUGUAUAAUUAUAUAUGCGAAU